rnacentral:misc_RNA from 1 species
ACAAGAGCUAGUUCUCCUGUCGCAAAAACAAUGAUAUUAAGGACAAGCCUUAACAGCCUUUUUAGGAGCCAGAUAAGUAAUGAAACAAAGAGAACUAUAGUAUCGAAAGUCAGAAGACAAGGUCGGUGCAGAAUAGAGACUUGAUUUGGUUUGGAGUUUGGACGCUCUGUUUCUUUGAAGCUGUUUACCUUGCCAGAAGAUGGUAUGCGAGAUACACAAGCAAUGAAAAGUACAUCAGGGCAAGAUUUCCCUCCUUUGUCAUUAGCACGGAAUUCUAAAGAACAUGUAGAGAUCUAAAGAACAUUCUUAAUUCAUCUAAAGAACAGAUGAAUUAAGUUACAUAUAUGUGUAUUAUUCCUUUUAAUGAAAUAAAAUAAAAUGAAAUUAUGAUUUUACUGAGUGCAACUU